rnacentral:rRNA from 1 species
UACGUAGGGUGCGAGCGUUAAUCGGAAUUACUGGGCGUAAGGGUGCGCAGGCGGCGUCGCAAGUCAGGCGUGAAAUCCCCGGGCUUAACCUGGGAACUGCACUUGAAACUACGAUGCUGGAGUAUGGCAGAGGGAGGUGGAAUUCCACGUGUAGCGGUGAAAUGCGUAGAGAUGUGGAGGAACACCGAUGGCGAAGGCAGCCUCCUGGGCCAAUACUGACGCUCAUGCACGAAAGCGUGGGGAGCAAACAGG